UACGAAGGGGGCUAGCGUUGUUCGGAAUCACUGGGCGUAAAGGGCGCGUAGGCGGCUUUAUAAGUCGGGGGUGAAAGCCUGUGGCUCAACCACAGAAUUGCCUUCGAUACUGUAGAGCUUGAGACCGGAAGAGGUAAGUGGAACUGCGAGUGUAGAGGUGAAAUUCGUAGAUAUCAGGAGGAACACCGGUGGUGUAGACGGCUUACUGGACCACGACUGACACUGAGGCACGAAAGCGUGGGUAGCAAACAGG
rnacentral:rRNA from 1 species